GGGGCCCGGCGGCGGCUGCGCCUCACGCCGCGGUGGAGCCGCUUCCGCUGCGCACGGGGACAGCCCCGCAGGUGCGGUGGCCGCUUUCUCGCCGGUGCUAUCCCGGCGAGAACCGCCCCUGUCCCGGCCUCAGCCCGCGGUGAGGGGGAGCGGGGCGGCCUGAGGGGAGCUGCCCGCCUGAGGGGAGCCGCCCGCCUUUGGGGUCUUGGCGCGCGGGGUGGCGCGGAGCUGCACCGGCGUGUCGCGACAGGAGCGCUAGCCGUCCUGUGAGCGCUGCCCUCACCCUGUCGUGAUAGGAGCCUCAUUCAGUCCAGGGAGUUCUUGCACGGUGCCAUGGACAGUUCCACCAUGGCUUCUGCCAUUCCAAGUAUUUGCUGAAUCACAGGGAGAAGUCACACUCUGACUUUUCAAGAUUGAAAGGAAGACAUGUAGGUGCACUCCAUGUAGAAUGAAUCCUGUUCCCUGAAAUGCAGCUGGAGAACGAGGGCAGCUCAGGCCACCCCAGGCCCCAGGAGAUUGAUAGUGCUGGCAGCUGAGGAUCUAAUUAUGGAUUAUUUGGGUCGCACUCUUUUAUCCCAGGUCCAUGUGGAUCUUGCUGUAGCUCCAAGGACAGCUGAAAUCAACAUCACUAAAUCCCCCAAAUCUGCAGAAUAUUACAGUAGCUUUAUAGCUGGGAUGCCUCCUCCUCCAGUUCUGGAUAGGGAUAAGGAGAAGCCUUUGGAAAGAAAGUGAGCUGCUGCUCGUGUGACUGCUCAGAUUGGUGUUCCAGCUGGGACAAAUUUGGUCACCCUGAGGGGAGAGAAUCCUGCCAAGGGGAGAGAAUCCUGCCAAGGGGAGAGAGCCCUGCCCCGCUCACCGAACCGCCCUGCGCCGCUCCUGCGGGUCUGGGGACACGUAGGCCUUCAUCUCCUCCUUGGCACGCUGCAGCUGGAUCUCCAGGCUCUGUGAAGAAACACACCAUCCAAUACAUAUAUGGAGACUCUUUCCAGCUCCUCCUGGGUGUAGCUGUAUCCAGAGAUUCCUUUCUUCUCCUCAAUUGCUUGCUGCAGACACAAACAGUAAAUGCUGGAUGUGAGUCCAUUAACCAAGAAACAGCAAAUUCCUUUGUGGAGCCAAAUAUUGUGAAGAAGUGAAAAGUCCAACAGCCUUAGCUAAUUCACACCUGGACCUGUGUGUGUUCAACUGGGAACACAAGCACCAGGGGCUGCAACAAACAGGUAAGCUUUUUCUGUGCUUUAAUGUUUUCCAUCUGUUCUGCAGUCUCAGCUCUUGUUGUUGGAUUUUACAUGAGAGCUACAAGGUAAAUGCCAAUCACAGCUCAAAAAAUGCAUUCAGAUCCAGAGAUGCAAAGCAAAUAAAAUUUAUAAGAGUAAAUGAUGUAAGAACAGGCUUCAGAAUGCUCCUGGAUGAGGAGGUGUUCAGUGUGUGCAGGGAGCACAGACCAGGCAGCCCCAGGAGGAAAAUUAAUCCCACUCCCACUGAUACAGGUUUGAAAUUCAAACAUAAAAUAACUUAAAUUUCAAAAUUUACAUUAAUUUUUCUUUUUGUGAAAUUAUCCCUCCCCCUUCUACAGAAUAAACCCAAACCCCCAAUGUGACCAAAGGCUAAGAACCCCCAGAGUAACUGUAUGUUCUAUAAAAAGUGUCCUGGGCAAACUGCCCACAAUGAAAUCAACCCUGUUCAUCUGCCAUCCUGUGCAAUAUCUAGGCCAAAGCUGCCUCUCUCUUGCUACGCUCCAGAACUAUUUUUAAAGCCAAAAGCUAUAAACGUUUUUGGUGAAAGAACAAACCCACAAAUUACUCAAUGUGCUCUAUGCAGAUUGGCCUCUGAGAGGCUUUGGGAUAGCAUCCUACAUCCUGCUACUACCCAGGACAAGGAUACACAAGGUCACCUGAGCCCCUGUCACACUCUCUGCUACAUUACUGGCACAUUUAAUACAGUAGCACCAAAUUCAUUCCUUUUCUUAGCAAAUUCAAUCACAUCCUCUUUGUUAAUACAAAAGACUUUUUUUUUUUUCCUUUAAUUGCUUAGACAAUACCAAGAUUUCUGUGAUUUCCAAGGGAUUACAAAAGUAUAAAUACAAUCUCUCCAACCAGCUGAGGAAAAAAGGGAAAGCACAGCCAUCUGUCUUGAUCCUUGGGACAUUUCAUUUGACCAGUGGAAUAUAAUAAAGAAUGAGGUAAAGGAUUAAACUUAAUAUGUGACCACACAGAGCUAUCAAAUCUGAAUGAUCUUCUGUCAGUGCAUCCCAGGAUGAAAAGCAAACUGUAAUUCUCUUCACUUUAAAGGUCUUGAAAAUAGCUCGAGUGGGAGGUAGGGUAUUUGCAUAUUCAAUAUUCAAAGCAUAAUGUAUUUUACAAUGGAAGUCAAAGGAUCUUGUUGAUUAACGAACCAAUUCCACCACUGUUCUAUUAUUAGUUGAUUAACUUAGAACUAUAUAAUACAAAUUUCAUCCCAAAUGAACUACAAGUUGCUCACAGUGACAACUGAAAUCUGUUCCUUUCAGGAGGUGCAUGUCAGCACAACCUCUGGAUUUUUAAAGCAAACUUCACCUUUCACACAGCUUUUAUUGCAGCAAACAAGGUAAAACAGAUAUAAACAACAGUAGGAAAGUGAUCAUCUGUGUAGAAAAUCAACCAAUAAUUUGGCAAAAUGUUCAAAGGACCUAAUUUACUCCAAGGGCAGCACAGAUUAGCUCAUCAAAAUCUCACUGACUGAAGGCUCCUUUAGAUCCAGGGCCAAGUUCUGAGCUGGAGCUCUUAGAUUUGACUCCACUUAAAUCAACAGCUUGUAGGGAUCUUACAGCAAAAUUAGGCUUAUUCAGCCUAAAGCUGAGAGUCAUUCCAUAGGUUUCCAAAAAUUAAAAAAACAUAUAAAAUACCAAUGUUUUCAUCUGUGUGAGCACUGCUUCUGAGGCUUUAUACACCUCUUGUGUACACGAAAAAUCAAUGCCACCAAACACUGCAUUUUACUGUGGUGAAAGAUCUUUUCAAUAAAUGGAAUAGUUCACAGAGAAAUAACAUUCAUUGGCCACAUCACUUUCAAGUGAAGUAACCAAAGGAAUCCACUCCUGAGCAGCAGCAUUUUCCCACAGACCAAGGCAGCUGCUCCCUGUGUCCAAACUCAGCAGGCUCAUCCUGGAAUUCCCAGGGAUCUGCCCAUGCAGUGAUGUUCCAGUCAAGGCCAUGGCCACCAGUAGCUUUUCUUUCUCAGGCAAUUGAACACAAGCAGUUAUUUCAGCUUCUGAGAUGAAAUGACUGGAUGAGAACCAAGUGCUGGCACUAAGGGAGCAGUGGAAGCAAACCAGCCUGGAGCCUGUGUCAGCCCAGUCAGAGCCCCUGGAGACACAAAAACCAUCCAAGGGAAAGCAAGCAAAGAUUCUGCCUUUUCACUUGGCUAUUUUUAUGGGUGACUGUAACAUAACAAGCCUGGAAUGCAGAUUAUGGAACACAGUGAAUGAAAACAGGACUUUGAUUUCUCAUAUUAACACAGGCAUGCACCAUCCCUGGGCAGAUUUCCUGGAUUAUGCUCCAUUUUUACUCGAAGAGUCCAGCAAUACACCUCCUUUAUGCUUCUCCAUUUAUUGGAAUCUGGAAGAGGAUCUGACAGCUGCAGUGAGGAGCUGCCAACUGUGCCCCCUGCUCACUGCACUUUGAUUGAAGUACUUAAAAAGACUUCAUCAUCCACAAAGACAAUUUAUUCCUACUUUUUUGUGUUUGAUGUAAGUGAAUUCCUGCUGUUUCUGCUGAGUUCUAUCCAGGUGUACAACCUCUCACAGCCAGUGGAAUGCUUUUCAUGACUGUGGAAGAAGGAAAACACCAGCACCUAAAAAUCUAAGCCAGGCCUGACCUUUUGGUGAAGGAAAGGCUAAUAGCACCUCAGCUGGAGAUCCAAAUGCUGCUUUGGGAGCACGAGCUAGGAAGGUGCUGAUUCCUCCACUGCCAAGUCUUGAGAGUGCCAUGGGAUGUAACAGAACAGAGCAAAGUGAGACAAAGCAAAGAUCAGAAAUGCUGGGUAUAGGAGAAAAAUAAUGCUUUCAUUUAACUAUAACACUUUGAUAGGAUUAAAAAAUCCAUUUAAAUUUAAGACAGCAAUGCUAUUUGUUAAAACUCCCUCUUUCUGCCUUUUUAAAAAUGGAGGAACUAAAUGUCAAACAUGUCACUGGAAGAGGAAAGUGCAAGGAAGCUCUUGGCUGUCAGAGUGUGAAGUGAAGGUUGAAUGGACAAACUCCUCCUGUCCCCAUGAACUGCAGCACUGACUCACCACCACAUUAAUCAACAUUUCCUCUGCUCUUGCCUCAAAGCUGGAGCACUGAACCAGAAAAUACAAAUCCUGAAGCAGAACAUACCAGAAACAAACCUGCAGCAGGAGUUUGGCUGGGAGUGAGAAACCCAGAUUUUCACUGGGGAGGAAGAACCUGCUCAUGCCACUUUUGCUUCAUCACCUCUUUCCUGCCAGCCCUGGCUCAUCUCAGCCCUGGCUCCUCACACCCCCUCUGAGGCAGGACUGGCUCCGUGCAUCUGCCAUGGACUUGGAGGAGAUGCAGAAUCUACAGCACCAAGGCCCUGGGCAGCAAUUCUGGCAGCAGACAUUUACAAAGAAUUAAACAUCACUGUCUCCACUUUCCAGAUGAGGAAACCAUGACCUUUGAAACAGAAGUGACCAAAAACCAUCAAGAAUUCAAACCUUUUCCUAGUCUUUAGGCACACGAAACACCCUUUUUACUGCUUUGCACUGAUGCCUGUGAGUACCACUGCACUUCACCUAAGGAAGUAAUAAACAUGAACAGGACAUGGAUUUAUAUAUUGACUUCCUUGCCAGUACACAUUUCCUUGCAGAAAAUAUUUUAAAAAUCAGGAAAUGCCUCUUAUGAAAAGACAAACACUUCUGAUUUUAAGCCAGUGUUUUUUUUCCAAAUUGCUCCUUUAUCCUUGUCUCUGCAAAAUGAAGACUUGAAAAUAUUUUAAAAGUCAAAAGCAGAACAUAUUUGAACAAAAGGAAUGCAGGCUAUGUCCAAAACAGAUCUUGUCCUUUUUCUGUCUCGAGCCACUUCCUUGUGUCAGACAGUUAACUUGAGUUUUUCAUUACUAAGCCUUUCACAAUGUUGUGAGGUUUCCUUCCUACCCAGUUCUCCUCAAAUUUCUAUGGAUCAGUUUCUUGUCUCCUGAAGAAUAAGCACAAUUAUUUCUUACCUUACAGUGCCUGUGCAGAUAAUGUAAAACAUAUGCUGCUGUCUUGGUAAUACAUUCUUGUUGAUUAAUUAAACACUUCUUUCCAUCACAUGUCACAAAACACAAAUUGUCAGCUUUCUGCUUUAAUUUUUGCUUAAAAACUUGUCAAAGACUCCAGCAAUGUGCCCACUGGAGCUGAAAACCUUGGAGGGGAGAAAAAUGCAAUGCAGUGGGUUCCCAAUUAUUGCUACCAAAGGAAAGGGAACAGUGUAUGCUGGGAAGAGAAACCAAUAUCUUCAUCUUCAAACCAAUUUCCACAUCUCUGUGCCAUUCCUCCCACCUGAACUCCUCAUCCACACUUUCAGACUCCUUUAAAAGUAGCUGAUUUUGUGGAGCAGCCACGUCCUAUGGGAUUAGGAAGGGAGUUCCUUCUAAAAAGGGAGUUCCCUGUAUUUAGUAGUAUGUAAUAAAGCACAAAAACAGAGAACAGGCAAGCAAAGAGUGUGUGCUUCUGGCUAAAUGAUGGCAGUGCAAAGACAUGGGAGAAUGAUAUUAACUCAGAGAAUGAUGCAGAUAAAAUUCUCUUUAGUUUAGUGACUCUACCUGUAAGUUCCCUUAGCAGGAUUCUUCCUAACUGGGAAAAAAUUACUGGCUGAAAAAAAGUCAAUUUGUUUUGCUGGCAAGCCAGUACCAAACUGCUAAUCCCUUAUUCUUUGCAAACUUCUGAAGCAGAAAAAGCUGCUUUGAGAAGUACAGCUGCCAAUCUCACUGUGCCUGGGCCACACUGUCUGUGCCAGCCAAAGUGGUGUCACAGCUGAACCUCAGGAGGGUCUGAGAAAUUUGGGUUUUAAGUAAAAACUUUUGUGGGUAAUAAAUACCACAGGACUAAUUGCAUCUCUGAUAAUCACUGGUAUUAUGCUUUAUAAUCAUACAGACUUUUUUAUAUUAUUUCUAACCCUACUGACCUUUCUGGUUAGUUAUUCACCAUCACACCACUGUGAUAAUAUUGCCAUUAUUUGGAAUAUUAAUCCAGCCCAACACUGUGUCCUUGCACACCUUGCAAUGGAUUAGGCAAUGUGAGUAAGAGAAAUUAAUCAUUUGAAAAUAGCUACAAAUCCCUACCUCAUCC